AUGAAAUUUCCAUUGCAAUAUUUUUCUAAAUAACCACCGGUACCACUUGGCUGCUCGCGACUCCUGAUUCUGUCCAGGGUGGGGUCGGGGGUCGUGACAUUUGCCUUCAUACAAUGGUCAGGGUUCAGUCAAGUCAAUUGAUUCGUUCACGUUGAAACACUGCAAGAAUUUGGCAAAAUGUUGUUGAUGGAUCAUAUGGGGUCACAUGUUCUGGCCUCCAGAAUCCAGUUCCAUUCCAAUCAGUACCGGCUCAAUAACAACCUGAUGAGAUUGUUCAUAUCAAGAAAGAAUGGGAAAAACAAGAUCCUAAACAGGAAUCCAUGAAUGAUUCCAAAGAAGUCUUGAUGGAAUUAGAAAACCAACAAGAUUCCAGUCAAUUUUCCGCUGCAUAAAGACAAGAUUUAGAGAACUAGAUGACCAGGUUAUCAUCUAUGUUGAAUGAAG
rnacentral:lncRNA from 1 species